CCCUUAGAUGUUCUGGGCCGCACGCGCGCUACACUGACGAAGUCAGCGAGCAUCUCCUUCGCCGAAAGGUGCGGGGAAUCUUGUGAAACUUUGUCGUGCUGGGGAUUGAUUUUUGAAAUUCUUGAUCAUCAACGAGGAAUUCCUAGUAAGCGCAAGUCAGCAGCUUGCGUUGAUUACGUCCCUGCCCUUUGUACACACCGCCCGUCGCUCCUACCGAUUGAAUGUGUUGGUGAGGAGCUCGGAUUGGCAGCAGUUGGUGGUUCGCCACCGGCUAUUGCUGAGAAGUCCUCCAAACCGCCCCAUUUAGAGGAAGGAGAAGUCGUAACA
rnacentral:rRNA from 1 species